ACGCUCGACACCUACGGGAGGCAGCAGUGGGGAAUAUUGCACAAUGGGGGAAACCCUGAUGCAGCGACGCCGCGUGAAGGAAGAAGUAUUUCGGUAUGUAAACUUCUAUCAGCAGGGAAGAAGAAAGUGACGGUACCUGACUAAGAAGCCCCGGCUAACUACGUGCCGGCAGCCGCGGUAAUCUGAGCGGGCUGGCAAGGC
rnacentral:rRNA from 1 species